AGAGUUUGAUCCUGGCUCAGGAUGAACGCUAGCGGCAGGCUUAACACAUGCAAGUCGAGGGGCAGCGGGGAGGAAGCUUGCUUUCUCCGCCGGCGACCGGCGCACGGGUGAGUAACACGUAUGCAACCUGCCCCUGUCAGGGGGACAACCCGCCGAAAGGCGGGCUAAACCCGCGUACAUGCCACCGGGGCAUCCCGGAGGCAGGAAAGGCUUCGGCCGGACAGGGAUGGGCAUGCGGCGCAUUAGGCAGUAGGCGGGGUAACGGCCCACCUAACCGACGAUGCGUAGGGGUUCUGAGAGGAAGGUCCCCCACACUGGUACUGAGACACGGACCAGACUCCUACGGGAGGCAGCAGUGAGGAAUAUUGGUCAAUGGUCGGGAGACUGAACCAGCCAAGCCGCGUGAGGGAGGAAGGUACAGAGUAUCGUAAACCUCUUUUGUCAGGGAACAAAGGCGGGGACGUGUCCCCGGAUGAGUGUACCUGAAGAAAAAGCAUCGGCUAACUCCGUGCCAGCAGCCGCGGUAAUACGGAGGAUGCGAGCGUUAUCCGGAUUUAUUGGGUUUAAAGGGUGCGCAGGCGGUCUGUUAAGUCAGCGGUCAAAGCCCGGGGCUCAACCCCGGCCCGCCGUUGAAACUGGCAGUCUCGAGUUGGAGAGAAGUAUGCGGAAUGCGCGGUGUAGCGGUGAAAUGCAUAGAUAUCGCGCAGAACUCCGAUUGCGAAGGCAGCAUGCCGGCUCCACACUGACGCUGAGGCACGAAAGCGUGGGUAUCGAACAGGAUUAGAUACCCUGGUAGUCCACGCAGUAAACGAUGAAUGCUGGCUGUCCGGGGGGAUUGACCCCUGGGUGGCGAAGCGAAAGCGAUAAGCAUUCCACCUGGGGAGUACGCCGGCAACGGUGAAACUCAAAGGAAUUGACGGGGGCCCGCACAAGCGGAGGAACAUGUGGUUUAAUUCGAUGAUACGCGAGGAACCUUACCCGGGCUCAAACGGGGAGUGACUCAGGCAGAGACGCCUGUUUCCCACGGGACACUCCCCGAGGUGCUGCAUGGUUGUUGUCAGCUCGUGCCGUGAGGUGUCGGCUUAAGUGCCAUAACGAGCGCAACCCCCGCGUGCAGUUGCUAACAGAUAACGCUGAGGACUCUGCACGGACUGCCGGCGCAAGCCGCGAGGAAGGCGGGGAUGACGUCAAAUCAGCACGGCCCUUACGUCCGGGGCGACACACGUGUUACAAUGGGUGGUACAGCGGGAAGCCAGGCGGCGACGCCGAGCGGAACCCGAAAUCCACUCUCAGUUCGGAUCGGAGUCUGCAACCCGACUCCGAGAAGCUGGAUUCGCUAGUAAUCGCGCAUCAGCCAUGGCGCGGUGAAUACGUUCCCGGGCCUUGCACUCACCGCCCGUCA
rnacentral:rRNA from 1 species